rnacentral:rRNA from 1 species
AGAGCGAACGCUGGCGGCAGGCCUAACACAUGCAAGUCGAGCGCCCCGCAAGGGGAGCGGCAGACGGGAGAGUAACACGUGGGAACGUACCCUUCGGUUCGGAACAACCCAGGGAAACUUGGGCUAAUACCGGAUACGUCCGUAAGGAGAAAGAUUCAUCGCCGAAGGAUCGGCCCGCGUCUGAUUAGCUAGUUGGUGGGGUAACGCCCACCAAGGCGACGAUCAGUAGCUGGUCUGAGAGGAUGAUCAGCCUCAUUGGGACUGAGACACGGCCUAAACUCCUACGGGAGGCAGCAGUGGGGAAUAUUGGACAAUGGGCGCAAGCCUGAUCCAGCCAUGCCGCGUGGGUGAUGAAGGCCCUAGGGUUGUAAAGCCCUUUCGGCGGGGAAGAUAAUGACGGUACCCGCAGAAGAAGCCCCGGCUAACUUCGUGCCAGCAGCCGC